CAGCUUUAAAUGUUUCUCCUAAGUAUGUCAUAAGAGAGUCCGACUCAGUGACGAUGACCUGUGAUCUGCCAGAAGGUCCACCAGUGUAUCAGUGUUAUUUCUACAUAAGAGAAGAGAAGGGUAUAAAACAGAAUUGGAAGUGUGAACUGGAGCUCACUGGUGCUGAAGUGCUCAGAUGGGCAGAUGUAAAAUCACCAGCAUCAGUCGACAUUUACUGCUUCUACACAAUACAAGAGAACCAGAUUGAGAAACCAUCACCUCAUUCUCCUCCUGCCACCGUGACGGUUCGAGUUUCAACAAGAGCCUCCACUGCACAUACAAGUACAACAGCCUCCACCGUACAUAUGACUACAACAGUCUCCACUGAACAUACAAUUACAAAAGCCAUUACAACCUGUGAGUAACAACAUACAGUAAACAUAUGAAACAAAUUUCAACUUCUAUACAAACCAACUGGGAGAAAAAACCUUACAUAGAUUGAGCUUGAAACACAAAUGUUAUCAAUCCAGACUCUUAGUAUUACUGAUAACCUGUGUAAAAAGCCAUGCUUCCUCCUAUCCAAACAAUCCCCCUUCCUCUACUACUUCACCUGGAUUUAAUCAAGAGGAGGAGAGCAGCUUACAGCUCAGGACGUGUCAUCCACCUUUACACUAGUCUCGGCUCUCCACAAGGGUGUGUAUUGAGCCCUUUACUGUACUCCCUCAAUACCUACAGUAUGACUGCAGCAGAGCCCAACACAGUAAUAGCAUAUUAAAUUUGCAGACGACACAACAGUGAUAAGACUUAUCGAAGGUGGCGAUGAAACAGCUUAUAGAGACGAGGUCCAGAAAAUAACAUCAUGGAGUUCAGUCAACAACCAGAAGGUGGAUCUGUUUCCCCUUAACAUCGAUGAGGACUGUGUUGAGAUGGUCCAACAUUUUUAAUUUCUUGGCACUUUUAUCUCUACUGUACUGACCUCUCCUGGACUGCAAAUACUACGGCGGUCAUCCAGCAUCAACUACACUUACUGAGACUUCUCAGGAAAAACAACACAUGUGAAAAGCCGCUGGUGAAUUUCUAUCGCUCCUGCAUUGAGAGUGUGCUGACCUACUGUAUUAUAGUGUGGUUUGCUAGUCGCUCUAAGGCAGAUGAGAGGGGGCUUCAGAGAAACCACCAGUGUCAGAAAUAUGUAAUGUAUUUGUGCUUUGUUAAUAAGAGAUUAUUAAAUCUGUGUUAAAUGUUAAAUAAGAAGAAUCAUUUUCCUGACAGUGAGAUCAUCUAGAAACACUGAUGUCUGUAAUCAUGAUGCAGUAGAACACAUUUUUAAUUGUAAUAUGAUUUGAUCUGAGAUCUUUUCUGUUGCAGCUGUUCCUCAUAAUGAUCACAUUCACUCUGAAGGUUGUUCAUUCACUCACAACACAAAACAAAACUGAUCAUCUAAAUAUCUGUAAAAACUAAAACAUUGACAUUUCCUCCAUUCAUGAUCAUAUGAUGUGGCAUGUUCAUUUAAAAUCUGAUAUGGAUAUAAACAUGGAUUGAAGCUUUAUUCUUUCUUUUGACAGGCUCAUGGCUUUUAGUAGUGCUGGUUUUCACUGGUAUUGGUUUAUUUCUGUCUGGACUCAUGGGAUUCAUCUGUCUCUGCCCCUUUGACAGUUCUGAUGACGCUCUCACUGAGGUGAUCUACAGCUCCUGCCAUGUGGAAACAACGUCUCUGUUAUGCUCCUCAAAACAUGGAUGAACCGUUUUAUUUCUUUACUUGUUGCAAAUUUACAGACAACAAUUACGUACAGAAAGAAUGAUGGUUCAGAAUAGCCACUGAAUUCAUAAACUGAUCAGCAGGCCAAGGCAUCUUUGAGUUUUUUUCCCACAUUUAUUUUGGGAGAAAAUCAUAUAAUUUACAUUGAAUAUCCAUAAAUCUCCAUGCGACUCUUUACAUUUUGUUUCUUAGUUUUUUGGAAGUAACUUUUAUUAGUUAAGUACAUCAGGGUUUUAAGUUACAUCUUAAGUUGUUUAAUGAUUAUUGCACUGUGACACUGUGAUCGCCAUACAUUAGUAUUUACAUCAGCUUGUGGAAAAGCUACUUUUGAUAAACUGUAAUUCAUGUGACUUUCUCUUUGCUGCUAGUGUUAUAUGGUGGAUAUCGGUGUAUGUUAAAAGUACAAAAUUAAAAAUUACAAGAUUUUAGUAGCAGUGCGACCAAUUCAGGAGAAAAGAGCUGUUGGAUUUACUGUUGUUGUUGUUGUUUUUACUGUACAGAAUAAAUGGCAACCACAACUUUGUAAUAAUGAAAGGA